GGAAAUAGCUACCAGGAAGAGGCUGACACUAUCGUUCGGGAGCGCAGAAGAACUUACUGCACAGGUGCCAGCUACCGCUAACGUGAAGCAUUGCAUUCUUGUACGUGGAUAUCGAACGGAACUGGCUUCCAUUGAACCCUGGCCCCAUGGCCCUGUGUUUACUACAGCAGUGAUCCCCAACCCCCAGGGCGCAGCCCGGUACCGGGCCGUGGGUUAUUUGGUACCGGCCACACAGAAAGAAAAAAAAUCAUUUCCAUUGUGUUUUAUUUUGAAAAGUGGCCGGAUUCUCUCUGUUACAUCCGUCUCACUUGACGCAUGUCCAUUGUGCGUGUGCUAACUUUCUCUCGCAGCACAGAUAGACUACUACUGUAUUUUUAGCAUUUUUCUUUCACCUCAUAUUUGGUUGUCAAAUGCGGAUAUUAUGUGGGAAUGCAUGAAGGUAAGUUUUGAUGACUUAUUGACUGCUAAUGUGCGCAUUUGUCUCAAGUUAAUUCAUGCUAGCACACUGCCUUUUAGCACACACGUGCUAAAUAUUUGGGAAAAAAUAACACUAGAAAUGGAAAAACAAGCAGAAAAGUGUAAAAAAAAAAGAACUCUUACCAAAAAAAACAACAAUUUGACGAUUGGAUACUUAUUCAACCAUGAAAAUCCUUAUUCUAAGACGGCCUAAUGCAUACAUGUACAUAUGCAACAUGCCUGCCCAGAGGAUAACCUCUCCAUCUACUUGCAACAGCGCACUAAAUCCAUGACUCCUCUAGCAUUAGCUAGCAUGUAAGUGAUGAAUAUGCAUCCGCCGUGACAUUGCAGCCAUCUUGUUUACGUGUGUGAAAUGGACAGCCGAUGGCGUGCAUUAAUGCGACGUCGGAGAACGUAAAGCCGAGCGAUUUGUGAGGUCUGAUGGUUUUCGAGGAGUAAUUUUGUCAUGCAAAUGAAUUACGUGCUAAUAUUGUUUUGAGAAGCCAAACUCUUUACUUCUUAAGUAACCCCAAUUACUAAGUGGAACUACAUUUGUCAUCACCGGAGGCCGACCAAAACUGGGCUCACGGGACCGAGUGCAGGUCAGUCUCUGUUGAUGUACUACGCUGCUGAUGGGGAUGUCCUACAACUUCAUGUCAAAACAUCCCAACUAUUCCUUUAACACUGCAUGAAGUCAGCCGUGGCAUGUCCAACAUGAGUGGGGAAAAAGUUCUCCUCCGAUCCCAUGUGGAAGUGGUAAGAUUCUGGCUUAAGUUUUUAGAAGAAAUGCGUUUGAGACUUAACUGUUUAGCUUGUUGUUAGCUGUCUCAAGUCUCUGAGUUGGGCAAUGUGAUGUAAACAAUGAAUAACAGGAGUGCAAAGGUGACUGUAGGGGUGGUAUUUCAUGUGCACAGGGCUCUGGUAAUGUUAACACCUGAAGUCCUAAGUUUUCUCUGCUGAAUGAAAUUCCAUUUAUUGACAUUCAAUCCUAAAUUGUGGAAAUGAAUUUAUCGUGGUGAGUCUGGAGCCAUCUGAUGGUGAUAAAUGAGGGAUGUCUGACCUUCCUGGUAUAUUUUGCAGCAAUGUCAUUGGGUCAGUCCCCUCCCUUUCUGCCUGUGGCAAAGAGCUGUGACCUUUCUGAAAGGUCCGUAUAUUAUUACACCACCUUUCCCGAGAGAGUGGAUAAAAUUGCACGGGGGGGGCGGCACAGCAAAACCUCACCUCUGAAAUCUUUCCAAAACAGGAAGGAAAAAAGUAAUAGCUUGCACUUUUUUGUUGUUGGUGUAAAAGCUGUUAAUGGCAUCUCAGCGGGCUGCCAUGAGCACGCUGGCGACCUGUUAGACGUCUUCACAGGUACGCUUCCACUUGGCUGGCGCUGAUUUAGACAAGCACGGUCAAAGAGAAUCAUGCAGCAGCACCCUUUGGAGGCGCCACAAAAGGACAGUUUGUACGAGUGGAAGCAGCAAACGCACACCAUUCCUCCACUACGGCCUUGUGGGUGCAGUCAUCCUCUCACAUUUCUGCUUUAGCUUCAUUCAGCUGUUUUUCUACACCGGGGGGGCUUUUUAUUCCUUGCUUGCUUCUGUUGAAUUUUGUGCUGAUUUUGAACAACACAAAAAAACUUGCUUGUUCAGGUUUGCUUGUCCCUUUAAAGCAACUGUAAGGAAUAAAUGUGUUUUUUACCCCUCGGAGUGUCACUGACUUGGAGCAAGUUCAUCAUUGACAGAGGCUGUUCCGGUUAGAUUUGAUGUACAUUCAUCAUGUGCUGGAAUGUCUUAUUCAAUUUGGGCCCUUAAAGGGGUAGUUGGUAUUUUUUGACAUGACGUGAGGGAAGACAUCGAGUGGGGACUCAAGCUAACCCUGCUGUCGGGCCUGCACACAGCUGCAGAUAUCUGCUGCAGCUCACGUUAUGUUACAAACAGUCCCUUUAAAUAUACAGUAAGAUAUUUUCGCAAUGUGGGUCAUUACUUGUUGGUGAGGGGCGAUGGUGGGUCCCGCAGCCCAACCAGUUAAGAAGCACUGGUCACGCUCGCCCAGAAGCUUACCGUCAUUUCUGGUUGUCUCACGAUGGGGAGUGGGAAUUGUGAGCUAUUUGGUUUGGACUGUGGAGUGUACAUGAUCACAAAUAGAUGUGCACACAAAGAUGCAAACACACACACACAUGUAGUACACCCACGUAGUACACCCAGGUGGAUGCAAAAUGAAUAAACAUCUUCUACUGAGGUUUUAGCCAAGUGUGUCUCUACUCUUAGACACGUUCUUAACUGAAGCGUCACUGUUGUCUUUCUAACGUGUCUGCUGCAUUCAUCAAUUAUUUGGAAUUUUCUAAAAAAAAAAAAAAAAAAAAAAAACUGUGGCAUUCCCACGGCCUUGUCUGCAUUUUUGGAAGCAUGUUUUGGUUCUUUCUCCCCCAUCAGAUGAGUGCCUCUCAAAACAUCAGCCCCGUGCAUUAUUAAUAUUUAUCAUUCACACAUCCUGCCCUCAAUUAUUCUACACGACGGGAUGAGAUUUUGUCUCUGACUGAAUAAAUGGGACGGUGUUUAUUUGGAAAAAUGGGGCGCCACUGAAGGCGGCCUUAUUUGGACCUCACGAAAGCAGGGUUUUUUUUAAUAUCAUUGACUCAGACAAUGACCUUCAAUUCACACCACCACUGACCACUCUGCUUUCCUCACGGCCAUGUGGAAGCAUCACGUAGACAAACAUCUCAUUAGCUUGAAUUGCCAAACUAGAUUGGAUUGUUAGUAGGAUGAAGUCGCUGGCCAAGACACAGCAGGGAAGAACAAGCUCUCUCCAGCCUUGGCGUGCUACGGGAUGCUGCAGCAUUGGACUCCUACGAAGGAGAACAUCUCAGAGAUCAGCAACUGAAACGGAAGGACUUGACUUGUGUGCAUGAGAUUUUAUGUUUUUGUAUGUUUUAGGGCUGCGAUUAAUUAACCGUGGAAAAAUGACAUUAAUCGCAAGUAAAUAUUUGAAUGGAUGGUCAGCCAUAUAAACAGUAACGUAUGUUUGGAACGCAGCGAGAGAAAAGACAAAAUGACAGGAAAACAUGGAUUUUCCAUGAAUACAUUUUUAUAGUAAUAAGGGAAAAAAUCACAAUAAUACAAGACGUGAACAAUGUCACCAUAUUGCAAUAAAACAACAAGAAGUUGGAAUAUCGUGACAAGAUAGUCGCUAUUGCAGCUUUUUUAAUAGUUAUGUAAUGAGAAAACAAUGACAUUACACACAAAAUAUUUGUACUGGGGGGGAAUGACAUUACAGGAAAGUAUUUGUACUGGGAAAUUACAAUAAUAUUGCAAAAAAAUGCAUUUGACAAGAAUAAAAAGAACAAAACGUUUUAGAAGUAUUAAGUUGCAACAUAAUGAAAGCAAAAAAGAUCACAUGAUUGGAGGAAAAGAAUGCAGUUUACAAGAUGAAAUGAUACAAGAAGAAGAAAUUACAUUACACAAAAAACCUUUACAAUGUGUUGAGGAAAAAAGCCAUCAUAAUUAUGACUUUUUAUAUCAUUUUGACUUUUAAUUGCAUAAUUAUGACUUCUCAUAAGUUGGACUUUUUAAUCCCAUAAUUAUGGCUUUUUUCAUAAUGACUUUUAUCCCAUAAUUGACUUCUCAUAAUUUUGACUUUCCCAUCUCAUGAUUAUGACUGUCUUAUAAUUACGACUAGCUCAGAAUUAUGACUUUCCUAUCAUUUUGACUUUUUGUCUCAUAAUGAUGACUUUUUGUCUCAUAAUGAUGACUUUUUGUCUCAUAUUGAUGACUUUUUGUCUCAUAAAGAUGACUUUUUGUCUCAUAUUGAUGACUUUUUGUCUCAUAAUGAUGACUUUUUGUCUCAUAAAGAUGACUUUUUGUCUCAUAUUGAUGACUUUUUGUCUCAUAAAGAUGACUUUUUGUCUCAUAUUGAUGACUUUUUGUCUCAUAAUGAUGACUUUUUGUCUCAUAAAGAUGACUUUUUGUCUCAUAUUGAUGACUUUUUGUCUCAUAAAGAUGACUUUUUGUCUCAUAAAGAUGACUUUUUGUCUCAUAAUGAUGACUUUUUGUCUCAUAAAGAUGACUUUUUGUCUCAUAUUGAUGACUUUUUGUCUCAUAAUGAUGACUUUUUGUCUCAUAAUGAUGACUUUUUGUCUCAUAAAGAUGACUUUUUGUCUCAUAUUGAUGACUUUUUGUCUCAUAAAGAUGACUUUUUGUCUCAUAAAGAUGACUUUUUGUCUCAUAAUGAUGACUUUUUGUCUCAUAAAGAUGACUUUUUGUCUCAUAAAGAUGACUUUUUGUCUCAUAAAGAUGACUUACCAUUGGGAUUUUUAAUGUAUUUAUUCUUUGAGUGGCCGAAACGGGCUUCCAUAGCUGAACCUAAUGGAUGCUAGCUUGUAAUCCUAAAAUAAAAAAGCAGCAUUUAAGCCAAGUCCUCGUGAUUCCCCAUGUACGAUACUGAAGUGUAAUAUCAGGUCUAUCUGUUGGAUGGUGAUAUCGGUGAAAAUGAAGCGAGAGCAGGAAAGUGUUCAUGCUGUGAUAUUUGAAGCCAAAGUUUGACUCCAAGGCUUUUGCUUCCAAACUGACCGUAUUCGUGCUCACCCAAAGAUUACGUAUGUUUGUUUUGCCGCACGCAGACAGUCGUCCUGAACUGUCGACCCCAUUGUGUGAGCACUUGGCAGGUGACCCCCACGGGCCGACCGGAUGACAUAGGUGAUGAGCCUCUAUAGGAGGCAGGGAGGAGGGACGGUGACAUCACUUACACUCAGCCCACGGGGAGGAUGUGAGAUAGACACCCACAAUCUUGUUUGUUUUCAAUUAGGAGGAAGUUGACGUGGAGAAGUGGAGAUAAGGAAAACAAUACAUCAUGUGCUCAUUUGAUGAUGAUUAUUAUUCAACAUCACCACAAAUAUGGAAAGCAGACACCUGACAGACAGCGAAGUGCAGUUCCAAAGUUGUUGGCCUACGGCGAGUGCACGUUUCACCCCUGUGUGUUUAUUGUGGCUGGGGUGUGCACAAGGACCUGUCCUCACGGUUGCUGUCCUCCGCCAGACGCCCUGCCUAAAACCAGUGGUGACAUCUGCCGUCCAGAAGUUGGGUGUUCACGUUGAAGCUUGAGGAUGGGUCCCAAAACACCAGAGCAUUAAUGGGACGUCAUCAUCAAGGUCCGCUACGUACCGCAGUUUAAGGUCACCGCUCAGUUCAUUUUUACCGAGCCCCCAAAGGGACAUGACCAGACUUUUGGUCCCAAAAAAAAAUUUUUAUUUGUCUUUUUUGUUGUUGUUGCCAAAAAUAGGCCGUUUCUUUCUGCAGAAAACAUCUCAUUCACUCUAAGUUGGGAAGCAGUUCUACAUCGUUUUCAUAAGUUCUACUUGCCCCCACUCCAUUUUGAGCCUCAAAUAGGUCUAAUUAUGUACUGUAUUAUUUCCUUUCUUUCUCUUUUUUCCAGUCUAUUGUGGCCUUGAUUGUGCUCCCUUCUGUAUGUAUUCUAUUGUUUAAUAUUGCUCCAGUACACUAUUUGCUCCAAAUAAAUAAGACAUGAAAUUGUAGUUUAUUGUUUUACUGAAGCUGUUUGACAAACAUUGACAUUUUUUUGCUACUUGAACAGAAUAUUCAAGCGGCAAGCUGGUGUUUGUGCACUCAUCUGCUCUGGCGCUUCAAAUCUGUUUCUGAAUAAAGA